AGCUUGUCUGUUUCUGCGUCAAGGUUUGCGGCGUCGCUGAAUCCAGUUUCUUCAGCUCAUAGCAGAAGACACGGCUCAAUCAAAUGUAAGUCGGGGGAUUUCUCGUAGUCUCCCGAGCUGGGGC